rnacentral:rRNA from 1 species
GUGGGGUCAUGGCCCACCAAGGCGACGACGGGUAGCUGGCGUGAGAGCGCGACCAGCCACACUGGGACUGAGACACGGCCCAGACUCCUACGGGAGGCAGCAGGUAGGAAUCUUGCGCAAUGGGCGAAAGCCUGACGCAGCAACGCCGCGUGGGGGAUGACGGCCCUCGGGUUGUAAACCCCUUUCAGCGGGGACGAAGCGAAAGUGACGGUACCCGCAGAAGAAGCCCCGGCCAACUACGUGCCAGCAGCCGCGGUAAUACGUAGGGGGCGAGCGUUGUCCGGAAUUAUUGGGCGUAAAGAGCUCGUAGGCGGUUGCGGAAGUCGGAUGUGAAAUACCGGGGCUCAACCCCGGGGCGCCAUUCGAUACUCCGCUGACUAGAGUCCGGUAGGGGAAGGUGGAAUUCCUGGUGUAGCGGUGAAAUGCACAGAUAUCAGGAGGAACACCGGUGGCGAAGGCGGCCUUCUGGGCCGGUACUGACGCUGAGGAGCGAAAGCUAGGGGAGCGAACAGGAUUAGAUACCCUGGUAGUCCUAGCCGUAAACGAUGGGCACUAGGUGUGGGGAGCUAUCCACUCUCUCCGUGCCGAAGCUAACGCAUUAAGUG